AUUGAACGCUGGCGGCAUGCUUUACACAUGCAAGUCGAACGGCAGCGGGGGCUUCGGCCUGCCGGCGAGUGGCGAACGGGUGAGUAAUGCAUCGGAACGUGCCCAGUCAUGGGGGAUAACUACGCGAAAGCGUAGCUAAUACCGCAUACGCCCUGAGGGGGAAAGUGGGGAUCUUCGGACCUCACGUGAUUGGAGCGGCCGAUGUCAGAUUAGCUAGUUGGUGAGGUAAAGGCUCACCAAGGCGACGAUCUGUAGCGGGUCUGAGAGGAUGAUCCGCCACACUGGGACUGAGACACGGCCCAGACUCCUACGGGAGGCAGCAGUGGGGAAUUUUGGACAAUGGGCGCAAGCCUGAUCCAGCCAUGCCGCGUGAGUGAAGAAGGCCU
rnacentral:rRNA from 1 species